CAGUUUGAUAUGUGAUGUUCUGAUUGGUGGUAAACCAACAGGAUAUUGUGCUGGUGGUUGCUCAGCAAUUGCAGACUCUGGGACAUCAUUGUUGGCAGGCCCUACAAUUGUGAUUACAAUGAUAAAUCAUGCCAUUGGAGCCUUUGGAGUUGUUAGCCAAGAAUGCAAGGCAGUUGUUGAACAAUAUGGAC